rnacentral:rRNA from 1 species
GAUGAACGCUGGCGGCGUGCCUAAUACAUGCAAGUCGAGCGAACAGACGAGGAGCUUGCCCCUCUGACGUUAGCGGCGGACGGGUGAGUAACAAGUGGAUAACCUACCUAUAAGACUGGGAUCACUUCGGGAAACCGGAGCUAAUACCGGCUAACAUAUUGAAAAGCAUGGUUCAAUAGUGAAAGACGGUUUUGCUGUCACUUAUAGAUGGAUCGGCGCCGCAUUAGCUAGUUGGUAAGGUAACGGCUUACCAAGGCAACGAUGCGUAGCCGACCUGAGAGGGUGAUCGGCCACACUGGAACUGAGACACGGUCCAGACUCCUACGGGAGGCAGCAGUAGGGAAUCUUCCGCAAUGGGCGAAAGCCUGACGGAGCAACGCCGCGUGAGUGAUGAAGGUCUUCGGAUCGUAAAACUCUGUUAUUAGGGAAGAACAAAUGUGUAAGUAACUAUGCACGUCUUGACGGUACCGAAUCAGAAAGCCACGGCUAACUACGUG